rnacentral:rRNA from 1 species
AAUGAAAUGGCUCGAUUGACGCUGGCGGCAGGCCUAACACAUGCAAGUCGAGCGGUAGCACAGAGAGCUUGCUCUCGGGUGACGAGCGGCGGACGGGUGAGUAAUGUCUGGGAAACUGCCUGAUGGAGGGGGAUAACUACUGGAAACGGUAGCUAAUACCGCAUAACGUCGCAAGACCAAAGUGGGGGACCUUCGGGCCUCAUGCCAUCAGAUGUGCCCAGAUGGGAUUAGCUAGUAGGUGGGGUAACGGCUCACCUAGGCGACGAUCCCUAGCUGGUCUGAGAGGAUGACCAGCCACACUGGAACUGAGACACGGUCCAGACUCCUACGGGAGGCAGCAGUGGGGAAUAUUGCACAAUGGGCGCAAGCCUGAUGCAGCCAUGCCGCGUGUGUGAAGAAGGCCUUCGGGUUGUAAAGCACUUUCAGCGGGGAGGAAGGCGUUAAGGUUAAUAACCUCGUCGAUUGACGUUACCCGCAGAAGAAGCACCGGCUAACUCCGUGCCAGCAGCCGCGGUAAU